rnacentral:rRNA from 1 species
UACGGAGGGUGCGAGCGUUGUCCGGAAUCACUGGGCGUAAAGGGCGCGUAGGUGGCACGGGUAGUCGUCGGUGAAAGCUCAGGGCUCAACCCUGAGUCGGCCGGUGAUACUCCCGAGCUCGAGUGUGGUAGAGGCCAAUGGAGUUCCGGGUGUAGCGGUGGAAUGCGUAGAGAUCCGGAAGAACACCGGUGGCGAAGGCGGUUGGCUGGGCCACAACUGACACUGAUGCGCGACAGCGUGGGGAGCAAACAGG